GCAGGAUGUUGCAUGUUUGCUUAAUGGAGUUUGUGGAAAAGAAAUAUGUAUGAUCCCAGAGACUCUUGAGCAGAAACAUGUGUGGAGAGAGAAGCUACAGAUAUGUAGGGGAUGCUAACUCUUCAGCAAGUCUCUGAUUUUCACUUUCACAUGAUAAUUGUGGAAAUAUGUAUAGAAGAAUUGCACAUGUUUAACAUAUAUUGGAUUACCUGGAACACAAGGUUUUGCAAAGCAUGAUGAAUAUGGAAAUAUGUUUAGAAGAACUGCACAAGUCUAAUGUAUAUUGGAGUGCUUGAGGAGGAGGAGGAGGAAGAGAGAAGGGGAAAAUUUGGAACACAGAGUUUUUUGCAAAGGUGAACGUUGAAAACUAUCUUUGCAUGUAUUUGGAAAAAUAAAAUACUAUUUAAAAAAAGAAAUGAGAUUAAAAGGAUUUUUAAAGUUAAUUUUUUAUGUUGUUUACACAUAUUGGAUUUAAUAUAUAUAUUUUAACAUGUAUAACAUAUUGAAUUGUUUGCCAUCUGGGAAGGGAGUGGGAGGAAGGAGGAGACAAUCUGAAAUACAAGGCUAUGUAAGGGUCAAUAUUGAAAAAAUUAUCCAUGCAUAUGUUU